rnacentral:rRNA from 1 species
UUGAACGCUGGCGGCAGGCCUAACACAUGCAAGUCGAACGGUAACAGGAAACAGCUUGCUGUUUCGCUGACGAGUGGCGGACGGGUGAGUAAUGUCUGGGAAACUGCCCGAUGGAGGGGGAUAACUACUGGAAACGGUAGCUAAUACCGCAUAACGUCGCAAGACCAAAGAGGGGGACCUUCGGGCCUCUUGCCAUCGGAUGUGCCCAGAUGGGAUUAGCUAGUAGGUGGGGUAACGGCUCACCUAGGCGACGAUCCCUAGCUGGUCUGAGAGGAUGACCAGCCACACUGGAACUGAGACACGGUCCAGACUCCUACGGGAGGCAGCAGUGGGGAAUAUUGCACAAUGGGCGCAAGCCUGAUGCAGCCAUGCCGCGUGUAUGAAGAAGGCCUUCGGGUUGUAAAGUACUUUCAGCGGGGAGGAAGGGAGUAAAGUUAAUACCUUUGCUCAUUGACGUUACCCGCAGAAGAAGCACCGGCUAACUCCGUGCCAGCAGCCGCGGUAAUACGGAGGGUGCAAGCGUUAAUCGGAAUUACUGGGCGUAAAGCGCACGCAGGCGGUUUGUUAAGUCAGAUGUGAAAUCCCCGGGCUCAACCUGGGAACUGCAUCUGAUACUGGCAAGCUUGAGUCUAGUAGAGGGGGGUAGAAUUCCAGGUGUAGCGGUGAAAUGCGUAGAUAUUAGGAGGAACACCAGUGGCGAAGGCGGCUUACUGGACUGUAACUGACGUUGAGGCGCGAAAGUGUGGGGAGCAAACAGGAUUAGAUACCCUGGUAGUCCACGCCGUAAACGAUGAGUGCUAGGUGUUGGAUCCUUUCCGGGAUUCAGUGCCGCAGCUAACGCAUUAAGCACUCCGCCUGGGGAGUACGGCCGCAAGGUUAAAACUCAAAUGAAUUGACGGGGGCCCGCACAAGCGGUGGAGCAUGUGGUUUAAUUCGAUGCAACGCGAAGAACCUUACCUGGUCUUGACAUCCACGGAAGUUUUCAGAGAUGAGAAUGUGCCUUCGGGAACCGUGAGACAGGUGCUGCAUGGCUGUCGUCAGCUCGUGUUGUGAAAUGUUGGGUUAAGUCCCGCAACGAGCGCAACCCUUAUCCUUUGUUGCCAGCGGUCCGGCCGGGAACUCAAAGGAGACUGCCAGUGAUAAACUGGAGGAAGGUGGGGAUGACGUCAAGUCAUCAUGGCCCUUACGACCAGGGCUACACACGUGCUACAAUGGCGCAUACAAAGAGAAGCGACCUCGCGAGAGCAAGCGGACCUCAUAAAGUGCGUCGUAGUCCGGAUUGGAGUCUGCAACUCGUCUCCAUGAAGUCGGAAUCGCUAGUAAUCGUGGAUCAGAAUGCCACGGUGAAUACGUUCCCGGGCCUUGUACACACCGCCCGUCACACCAUGGGAGUGGGUUGCAAAAGAAGUAGGUAGCUUAACCUUCGGGAGGGCGCUUACCACUUUGUGAUUCAUGACUGGGGUG